AAAACCUUAAGUUAAAAAAACUUUUAACCUUCAAAGUUAAAUAUAUAUAUAAUUAAUUAUAUAGGUUUUA
rnacentral:tRNA from 1 species